AUUGAACGCUGGCGGCAGGCCUAACACAUGCAAGUCGAACGAGUGGCGGACGGGUGAGUAAUGUCUGGGAAACUGCCUGAUGGAGGGGGAUAACUACUGGACACGGUAGCUAAUACCGCAUACCAUCAGAUGUGCCCAGAUGGGAUUGGCUUGUUGGUGGGGUAACGGCUCACCAAGCCGACGAUCCCUAGCUGGUCUGAGAGGAUGACCACCCAAACUGUAACUGAGACACGGUCCAUACUCCUACGGUAGGCCGCAGUGGGGAAUAUUGCGCAAUGGGCGCAAGCCUGAUGCAGCCAUGCCGGGUGUAUUAAGAAGGCCUUCGGGUUGUAAAGUACUUUCAGCGGGGAGGCGUUACCCGCAGAGGAAGCACCGGCUAACUCCGUGCGAGCAGCCGCGGUAAUAC
rnacentral:rRNA from 1 species